UUGAACGCAGGGGAUGGAGUUCCCCUUGAACCGCAUUUGCUGAUGACUCCUGCCAGACC
rfam:Desulfovibrio desulfuricans subsp. desulfuricans str. ATCC 27774, complete genome.